rnacentral:rRNA from 1 species
GUCUAGGGCCAUGCCAUCCUAAUCCUCCAGAUUUCAUCUGAUCUCAGAAGCUAAGUAGGAUUGGGCCUGGGUAGUAUUGGAUGGUCCAGAAUGAAUCUGUUCAAGGGCCCUUUUAAAGGUGCAGGUGGUCCGGAAG